rnacentral:rRNA from 1 species
UACGUAGGUGGCAAGCGUUUGUCCGGAUUUAUUGGGUUUAAAGGGUGCGUAGGCGGUCGUAUAAGUCAGUGCUGAAAUAUCCCGGCUUAACCGGGAGGGUGGCAUUGAUACUGCAUGACUUGAGUAAAGUUGAGGUUGGCGGAAUUGACGGUGUAGCGGUGAAAUGCUUAGAUAUCGUCAAGAACACCUAUUGCGAAGGCAGCUAACUAAGCUUUAACUGACGCUGAGGCACGAAAGUGUGGGGAUCAAACAGG